UACGUGAGCCCGAGACGACUACGGGACAAAGCUGCAGGCUGGACAUGGGCGCUUUAGCAUGAUGUAGCCUGCAACGUAUCAAGGAGCAGACUGGCAGCCCUUCUGGUGUGGGCAGCACCCAGGAAUGGCCCUGGUCCUGACUGGGCCUCUUGGCGCUACCGUAACCCAAAUCAACAUUAAUAUGAAUGGUCCUGCUCGUCAGUCUGUGCCAGCACAAAGCCAGAGGCUAUGGCUCCACCCUCCCUGAUCGGACCCCGGAUGGGCCCGCCCGGGCCUUGUGCAGCAUAGACCCAGCUGAGUGGUUUGGCUGGGACCUCAUUAACUCGGCCCUCCCUGGACGGGACACGAGGAGGGUCAGCUGCACCCGAGAGCAGCUCGCACAGAACUGAGCAGUGUCACCCCAGCUGGCAAUGACCUCACCCAGCUCAGAACUUCUGAGCCGUUUGGAUCCAAACAGCCUGAUGCCGUUGGGACCAGAACAUUCCAGGACAAUUUAAACCACAACCGUCUGGUGCCACUUGGAUCAAACCCUUGGCUCAGGUCAAUCGUGAUCCUGUCUCUGCUGCCUGCACUGUGAGAUCUGGAGAUUUAGCUGAAGAAUUGGACCAGAACCGCCAUCCCUUCCCCAGCAGAGACCCAGACCUUCUGGCUGGUGCUGUGACAAAUAAUCCAGGAGGUUUCGAGGACUGUGACAGGCACCAGCCUUGGCCCGAGUCCCCAGAGCCAGGACCAUGGCGCACAGCCAGGGGCUUCCUGCUGACGCCCCAGAGACGAAUCCCGGAGCUGCCCAGGAGCGGUCAGAGUCGCAGAGAUCAGGGGAGUCGCCCCCUCGUCAGGGGGUCUCUGCUGGGAGCCCCAUUCCUGGGGAAACGGCGGAGGAGAGGGUCUCUGCCUCUGCAGGCCCCAGGGACCCAAGCCAGCAG